ACCCGAUGCAAACUGCGAAUACCGGAGAAUGUUAUCACGGGAGACACACGGCGGGUGCUAACGUCCGUCGUGAAGAGGGAAACAACCCAGACCGCCAGCUAAGGUCCCAAAGUCAUGGUUAAGUGGGAAACGAUGUGGGAAGGCCCAGACAGCCAGGAUGUUGGCUUAGAAGCAGCCAUCAUUUAAAGAAAGCGUAAUAGCUCACUGGUCGAGUCGGCCUGCGCGGAAGAUGUAACGGGGCUAAACCAUGCACCGAAGCUGCGGCAGCGAUGCUUAUGCGUUGUUGGGUAGGGGAGCGUUCUGUAAGCCUGCGAAGGUGUGCUGUGAGGCAUGCUGGAGGUAUCAGAAGUGCGAAUGCUGACAUAAGUAACGAUAAAGCGGGUGAAAAGCCCGCUCGCCGGAAGACCAAGGGUUCCUGUCCAACGUUAAUCGGGGCAGGGUGAGUCGACCCCUAAGGCGAGGCCGAAAGGCGUAGUCGAUGGGAAACAGGUUAAUAUUCCUGUACUUGGUGUUACUGCGAAGGGGGGACGGAGAAGGCUAUGUUGGCCGGGCGACGGUUGUCCCGGUUUAAGCGUGUAGGCUGGUUUUCCAGGCAAAUCCGGAAAAUCAAGGCUGAGGCGUGAUGACGAGGCACUACGGUGCUGAAGCAACAAAUGCCCUGCUUCCAGGAAAAGCCUCUAAGCAUCAGGUAACAUCAAAUCGUACCCCAAACCGACACAGGUGGUCAGGUAGAGAAUACCAAGGCGCUUGAGAGAACUCGGGUGAAGGAACUAGGCAAAAUGGUGCCGUAACUUCGGGAGAAGGCACGCUGAUAUGUAGGUGAAGUCCCUUGCGGAUGGAGCUGAAAUCAGUCGAAGAUACCAGCUGGCUGCAACUGUUUAUUAAAAACACAGCACUGUGCAAACACGAAAGUGGACGUAUACGGUGUGACGCCUGCCCGGUGCCGGAAGGUUAAUUGAUGGGGUCAGCGCAAGCGAAGCUCUUGAUCGAAGCCCCGGUAAACGGCGGCCGUAACUAUAACGGUCCUAAGGUAGCGAAAUUCCUUGUCGGGUAAGUUCCGACCUGCACGAAUGGCGUAAUGAUGGCCAGGCUGUCUCCACCCGAGACUCAGUGAAAUUGAACUCGCUGUGAAGAUGCAGUGUACCCGCGGCAAGACGGAAAGACCCCGUGAACCUUUACUAUAGCUUGACACUGAACAUUGAGCCUUGAUGUGUAGGAUAGGUGGGAGGCUUUGAAGUGUGGACGCCAGUCUGCAUGGAGCCGGCCUUGAAAUACCACCCUUUAAUGUUUGAUGUUCUAACGUGGACCCGUGAUCCGGGUUGCGGACAGUGUCUGGUGGGUAGUUUGACUGGGGCGGUCUCCUCCUAAAGAGUAACGGAGGAGCACGAAGGUUGGCUAAUCCUGGUCGGACAUCAGGAGGUUAGUGCAAUGGCAUAAGCCAGCUUGACUGCGAGCGUGACGGCGCGAGCAGGUGCGAAAGCAGGUCAUAGUGAUCCGGUGGUUCUGAAUGGAAGGGCCAUCGCUCAACGGAUAAAAGGUACUCCGGGGAUAACAGGCUGAUACCGCCCAAGAGUUCAUAUCGACGGCGGUGUUUGGCACCUCGAUGUCGGCUCAUCACAUCCUGGGGCUGAAGUAGGUCCCAAGGGUAUGGCUGUUCGCCAUUUAAAGUGGUACGCGAGCUGGGUUUAGAACGUCGUGAGACAGUUCGGUCCCUAUCUGCCGUGGGCGCUGGAGAACUGAGGGGGGCUGCUCCUAGUACGAGAGGACCGGAGUGGACGCAUCACUGGUGUUCGGGUUGUCAUGCCAAUGGCACUGCCCGGUAGCUAAAUGCGGAAGAGAUAAGUGCUGAAAGCAUCUAAGCACGAAACUUGCCCCGAGAUGAGUUCUCCCUGACCCUUUAAGGGUCCUGAAGGAACGUUGAAGACGACGACGUUGAUAGGCCGGGUGUGUAAGCGCAGCGAUGCGUUGAGCUAACCGGUACUAAUGAACCGUGAGGCUUAACCUUACAACGCCGAAG
rnacentral:rRNA from 1 species